rnacentral:rRNA from 1 species
GUCGCAUGCUUUUUGGCCGCCAUGGAANGCCGCGGGAAUUCGAUUCCCCGUAAUCGGAAUGAGUACACUCUAUUUCCCUUUAACGAGGAUCAAUUGGAGGGCAAGUCUGGUACCAGCAGCCGCGGUAAUUCCAGCUCCAAUAGCGUAUAUUAAAGUUGUUGCGGUUAAAAAGCUCGUAGUCGAAUUUGUGUCCCACGCCGCCGGUUCAUCGCUCGCGGUGUCAACUUGGCGUGUUCGCGGGGACGUCCUGCCCGGUGGGGCUUAGCCCCAAUCCGGGGGGCCCAAUUCUCAAUCCCACCGGGGGGGGCUUUUCUCAAAAAUGUCGAGGUGGGGCCCGCCCCGUUUUAUUUUGAAACAAAUUUAAAGGGGUUAAAGGCAGGCUUAAAACAUCCCCGGAAAACUGGGGGCAUGGAAAAAUGGAAAUAGGACCCUCGAUUCUAUUUUGGUGGUUUUCGGAACCCCGAGGUUAUGAUUAAUAGAGAACGGAUGGGGGCAUUCGUAUUGCGACGUUAGAUGUGAAAUUCUUGGAUCGUCGCAAGACGGACAGAAGCGAAAGCAUUUGCCAAAAACGCUUUCAUUGAUCAAGAACGAAAGUUAGAGGUUCGAAGGCGAUCAGAUACCGCCCUAGUUCUAACCAUAAACGAUGCCAGCUAGCGAUCCGCCGACGUUCCUCCGAUGACUCGGCGGGCAGCUUCCGGGAAACCAAAGCUUUUGUGUUCCGGGGGAAGUAUGGUUGCAAAGCUGAAACUUAAAGGAAUUGACGGAAGGGCACCACCAGGAGUGGAGCCUGCGGCUUAAUUUGACUCAACACGGGAAACCUCA